ensembl:lncRNA
CAAAUCUCCUGCUUGGCGAGUGGAUCUUUACCACUGAGCCACCAGGGAAGCCCCCACAUUUAAAAUCCAACAAUCCUGCAAGGUAUGUACUAUUGUCUCUAUUUUAUACAUAAGAGAAUGGAUGAUUUUGAGAUCACACAGCUUAAAAGUGGCAAAGCUGUGACCUGAACACAAGUCAGCAUAUCUUCAAAAUGCCAAGAGCUUCCCGCUCCCAGUGCUGUCGGUAACAGUGGAGAGGGGAGGCGAAUGAUGCUUGGAAGGAUGGAGGAACCUCUUUCUGGUCCACUAACUGGAAUUUAUAGUUCUAAAGCUUCCGUCUCAGCAUCAAAUAUUUUAUUGAAUUGGAUUUAGACCUCUUCACUGUCGACUGAGCCCAAUGAGCCUUCCCACAAAACCUUUCCAAAUCGAGCAGAAGUCAGACAUUGACAUCCCCUGAAUGUGAGCUCCAGAACCAUCAUUCAUGUCUCCCCUGGUUUUGGACACCAGUUCUGGUCUAGACUGGCGUUUCUUGUCCUGCAAAGCCAGUCUGUUGGACUUCCUGGUUCUGAAACCCAUUCCAUCCCAGAUCUCUCCCUGGAGGACACGUUUGUCUUCUUCGAUCCAGUGCUGUCUGAUUCACCUCCAUGAGUGGCUGAACUCCCCCUGGCGAUGUCUGGCUCCUACUCAUACAGGGCUAUUUGUUAAAUGUGCCUGGAGGUUCUCCUCUUGAAAUUUCAAGCGGAUGAACCUCAUUACCCUCCUCAUUCUUCAAGGUGAGACUGGAAUCUCCCAUCCACCAGAAGCUUGCCUGGACCUCUUAACCUACAGUGGUAACAACAGCAACAGCCAUCACCAUUUUCCAUCCUCAGAGUAAUGCUGUGACACAGGCAUUGUUAUUACUUCUACUCUGGAUAAGAAGAUUGAACUCAAAAUGGUUAGGAGUUGCCUACAUUUAUAACCUGGUAAUAAUAAAAAAUAGCAAGCAUUCA